rnacentral:pre_miRNA from 1 species
AAACUAUUCCCUCCGUCCCAAAAUUCUUGUCUUAGAUUUGUCUAAAUACGGAUGUAUCUAGUUACGUUUUAGUGUUAGAUACAUCCGUAUCUAGACAAAUGUAAGACAAGAAUUUUGGGACGGAGGGAGUAAUAU